rnacentral:lncRNA from 1 species
AUGAUGGACAUGAUAUAAUGAAACAACAUUGUGGAGAGGAAAGCAUUAGGGGAGCCCACGGCUACAAAACAAGUGAGAAGAGGUGGGAGAAAGAGAAACUACGCCACCUCCUCUGCAGCCGAGCGCACGCAGCAGCCUGGCGUGACAAGUGGGCGACGCCAGGGACAGAGAGUGGGGGUCCUCCGCCCGCUCCGGGGACCCUGUCGCCCACCGUGGUGCGCUGAGCAACUUUUAGCCGGCAGCCCCGCACCUGUCUCAGAGUCCCCAUCGCUCCCCACCAACCAUCAUGGGAAAAUUCUAGAAGAAUACGCUCUCGGAAUCUACGUGCGCAUCAUUUUCCUCCUCACUCCAGAGGAAGGAACCAGAAAAGAGAGCAAAGCGGUGUAGUGUUCAGCCUCAAGGCAUCUCGUUGAUUCCUAGCGUUAGAAGAACUGAGCUAACAGGAGUCUGCCACCUCUCUGCCUUGCUGAUGCACCCAGGCAGGGCUCACUGGUUUGCAGGAGUACAUGACCACAGAUCAGAGCCAUUGCAGGCUGCACAGAUACCUGACUCUGGGCUCUCAGGAAGACUCAGGCAGAGAUGGGGAGUCGGCCUGCAAGCUGGGACGCUAGAGCUCACGUGCAGUUCUCCAUUUAGCUAGGAGGUUUCCAGGGCAACCACCGAAGCAGUAAUUAAAGAUGAAGAGCUAAAAGGUAAGUACUUCCAAACCUGAAUCCUGAAGGAGGUGGUCCGCAGGCUGGUGUCACAGUGUGCACUCUUAUUCACUUAACAUUAAGUAAAUAAUUUUUUAAAUACAUUUUUGAAAACCUCUGAUGAGAGGAUACACACUAAAUUAGGAUGUUCAUGCUCUGCUUUGAUUUGUAUCUUUUCACGCGCGCACGUAUUCUUGUAUGUACGUACACACCACACACACACACACACAUUUUUAUGCUUCCACCAGCCAGUCAUGGGACCAGGCAUUGGGAUACCAGGGCUUAAGGUGUCUUUCGGGUUCCUGUUUUGAACGUCCUAGCAUGCAUGUAUAUAUAUAUACAUACAUACAUAUAUAUAUAUACACAUUUAAGGCAUGCAAACGAGCAACUGCAGAGGCGUCUACAGUACUUAGCGUGUAGCAGGAACAUCCAGGCUCUCCAGGCAGUUCACGGGUGCUUACACAGCCUGACGAGGUGCUCGCCGUGCCGCCAUCCUUUCCUUGAGCGAACUGUACCCUGGGUUAUGAACCUUGUUUGCCUGAUAGUUCAGGGCAUCAGUGCAGUAACAGGGCUGAUGAGAGAGAGCUCCACCAAAGCAGCAGCGCCAUUGAGAAGGUAGAAGACAGCUAUUUUAACGGAAGCUUCAGAAGCUCAUGAGUCUAUUCCCAGGAGUAUGGGUAAAGUUUGCUCAUGCAAAUGCUGCAUUUCAUGAGUCCAUGGGUUAAAGCAGUUACGGACCCUGGAAGAUGGGAGAUACUUACAAAAAGCAAAGCCCAGAUCUCCACACCUUCAAAGAGAAGAUGCUCAAAUCUCCAAUUUUCAGACCAGUGCUUUUUUCAGUUAUGCACUGGUAUAUGGCUGAAACUGUAGGUGGCAUGGGAGACUUUGGUAAGUGUAGGCCCUAGGAUAUCUGUCCCACCAUUUUCCCUGUAACAAAAGUAAGGAAUCUGUAA